AGAAACCUCCGAUAUGAUCCCCGCCCCCGCCUGCCCCCCACCCCAUCGGCUGCUCGGCCUGCUACAUGCUGCCAACCAGGGCAACUGGGACUGUCGCAGGUCAAGAGGAAAGACGGCACUUUGGGUGGCUGAACACCCUCACCCACCUCUGGCAGGACCUCAGAUGUCAAUAAACAGAAAAAUAGCCAAAGGGCCAGUGGAGCGGGAACAGAGGUAAACGGGCCCAGAUAACUGGCAGAGCACAGAGUCAUGAGGUAACCACGUCACAGCAAGCAUCCAGACGGCUCCAACCUACCUCAGGCAGUGAUUGAUUUGUUAAGAGUUUUGGAAUUACUGGGGAAGAGCUUUUGAGGAUGUUUGAAAUCCGUGAUUCAAAGCAGGGAGGGACCUGAGGGUGACGGGAUUGGUUGUGACAUCAGCAAUGACUGGCCACGGCCACUCCUCGAAGAGGCUGGGAACCCUCCAUGCUGUCCUUCAAGAAGAUGUUGUAAACCCUCCCAAGGCUUUUAAUGCCCCUUCGUGCUUUAACGUCCCAGAAGGUUUGUUUCCAAAUGACAGUAAGAUGGCCACGAAAAACAAAAGUGAGUUUUGGGUGAUCCUGAGGGCCUCAUCCAUUGCUCCCACCAACGGAAAGGGAAAUAUUGGUAAGACACAAACAAUCCUUGGCUUUCCCGAAAGGGACUUACGACCUCACAGCUUUGGCACUUCAUUCA